GUCUUCUUGUUAUAUUUAGGAAGUCUGGCCUGCCCAGUGAAAAUAAUUUAACGGCCGCGGUAUAUUGACCGUGCAAAGGUAGCAUAAUCAUUAGUCUUUUAAUAGAGGGCUGGUAUGAAGGGUUUAACGAGGUGUUGACUGUCUCAUUUAAUUUGAAUAUUAGAAUUUAAUUUUUUAGUUAAAAAGCUAAAAUAUUGUUGGAAGACGAGAAGACCCUAUAGAGCUUUAUAUUUUUAUUAUUAAUUUAUCAUAGAUUAUUAUUAUUUAUUAUUAAUAAAAAGUAUUUUGUUGGGGUGACAAAAAUAUAUAAAUAACUUUUUUAUUUUAUUUACAUUGAUAUAUGAAUAUUAGAUCCAAUCUUAUUGAUUGUUAGAUUAAGUUACCUUAGGGAUAACAGCGUAAUCCCUCUCCAGAGUUCAUAUUUACAGAGGGGCUUGCGACCUCGAUGUUGGAUUAAGAUAAUAAUUAGGUGCAGCCGCUUAAUUAAUAGGUCUGUUCGACCUUUAAAUUCUU
rnacentral:rRNA from 1 species